UGGGGAAUAUUGCACAAUGGGCGCAAGCCUGAUGCAGCGACGCCGCGUGAGGGAUGACGGCCUUCGGGUUGUAAACCUCUUUCAGCAUCGAAGAAGCGAAAGUGACGGUAGGUGCAGAAGAAGCGCCGGCUAACUACGUGCCAGCAGCCGCGGUAAUACGUAGGGCGCAAGCGUUGUCCGGAAUUAUUGGGCGUAAAGAGCUCGUAGGCGGUUUGUCGCGUCUGCUGUGAAAGCCCGGGGCUUAACCCCGUGGUGUGCAGUGGGUACGGGCAGACUUGAGUGCAGUAGGGGAGACUGGAACUCCUGGUGUAGCGGUGAAAUGCGCAGAUAUCAGGAAGAACACCGAUGGCGAAGGCAGGUCUCUGGGCUGUUACUGACGCUGAGGAGCGAAAGCAUGGGG
rnacentral:rRNA from 1 species